rnacentral:rRNA from 1 species
UAUGAACGGCUAAAUGAGGAUUAAACUGUCUCCUACGACUAAUCAGUGAAACUGAUCUCCCAGUUCAAAAGCUGGGAUAAAUACAUAAGACGAGAAGACCCUGUGGAGCUUAAAAUUAAAGCCACCCACACCAACCAACCAAACCAAACAUGGCCUACAAUUUUAAGUUGGGGCGACUUCGGAACUAAACAAAACUUCCGAGCACAAGAGCAUCCCUCAUACCAAGGCCAACAUGCCUAAGCAUAACCUGACCCAGUCCUACUGAUCAACGAACCAAGUUACCCCAGGGAUAACAGCGCCAUCUUCUUUAAGAGUCCCUAUCGCCAAGAAGGUUUACGACCUCGAUGUUGGAUCAGGACACCCAAAUGGUGCAGCAGCUAUUAAAGGUUCGUUUGUUCAACGAUUAAUAGUCCUACGUGAUCUGAGUUC